rnacentral:rRNA from 1 species
UACGAAGGGGGCUAGCGUUGUUCGGAAUUACUGGGCGUAAAACGUGCGCAGGCGGCCAUCCAAGUCAGUGGUGAAAGCCCGGAGCUCAACUCCGGAAUUGCCAUUGAAACUGUUUGGCUCGAGUACGAGAGAGGUGAGUGGAAUUCCCAGUGUAGAGGUGAAAUUCGUAGAUAUUGGGAAGAACACCGGUGGCGAAGGCGGCUCACUGGCUCGUAACUGACGCUCAUGCACGACAGCGUGGGGAUCAAACAGG